UACGUCGGGGGCCCGCUUUUUCCUUCUUCCUUUUUCUUCCCUCUCUUUUCUUCUUCCAUUUAUUUCUUUUUUUAAAACUGGAGGCUCAACCUUCAGAGGUCGACCGAAACCAUCUGGCUAGAGUCCGGGAGAGGAGAGUGGAAUUCCUGGUGUAGCGGUGAAAUGCGCAGAUAUCAGGAAGAACACCCGUGGCGAAAGCGGCUCUCUGGAACGGUACUGACGCUGAGACGCGAAAGCGUGGGGAGCGAACAGG
rnacentral:rRNA from 1 species